UGAGUAACCUGCCCUUAACUCUGGGAUAAGCCUGGGAAACUGGGUCUAAUACCGGAUAUGACUCCUCAUCGCAUGGUGGGGGGUGGAAAGCUUUACUGUGGUUUUGGAUGGACUCGCGGCCUAUCAGCUUGUUGGUGAGGUAAUGGCUCACCAAGGCGACGACGGGUAGCCGGCCUGAGAGGGUGACCGGCCACACUGGGACUGAGACACGGCCCAGACCUCCGUACGGGAGCAG
rnacentral:rRNA from 1 species